GGGGAAUAUUGCACAAUGGGCGCAAGCCUGAUGCAGCCAUGCCGCGUGUAUGAAGAAGGCCUUCGGGUUGUAAAGUACUUUCAGCGAGGAGGAAGGUGUUGUGGUUAAUAACCGCAGCAAUUGACGUUACUCGCAGAAGAAGCACCGGCUAACUCUGUGCCGGCAGCCGCGGUAAUACGGAGGGUGCAAGCGUUAAUCGGAAUUACUGGGCGUAAAGCGCACGCAGGCGGUCUGUCAAGUCGGAUGUGAAAUCCCCGGGCUCAACCUGGGAACUGCAUCCGAAACUGGCAGGCUAGAGUCUUGUAGAGGGGGGUAGAAUUCCAGGUGUAGCGGUGAAAUGCGUAGAGAUCUGAAGGAAUACCGGUGGCGAAGGCGGCCCCCUGGACAAUAACUGACGCUGAGGCUCGAAAGCGUGGGGAGCAAAC
rnacentral:rRNA from 1 species